AUUGAACGCUGGCGGAAUGCUUUACACAUGCAAGUCGAACGGCAGCACGGACUUCGGUCUGGUGGCGAGUGGCGAACGGGUGAGUAACAUAUCGGAACGUAUCCAAUAAUGGGGGAUAACUAAUCGAAAGGUUGGCUAAUACCGCAUACGCCCUACGGGGGAAAGCUAGGGACCUUCGGGCCUGGCGUUAAUGGAGCGGCCGAUAUCUGAUUAGCUAGUUGGUGGGGUAAAGGCCCACCAAGGCGACGAUCAGUAGCUGGUCUGAAAGGACGACAAGCCACACUGGAACUUAGACACGGUCCAGACUCCUACGGAAAGCAGCAGUGGGGAAUUUUGGACAAUGGGCGCAAGCAUGAUCCAGCCAUUCCGCGUGAGUGAAGAAGGCCUUCGGGUUGUAAAGCUCUUUCGCAAGGGAAGAAAACUUAGCCUCUAACAUAGGCUGAGGUUGACGGUACCUUGAUAAGAAGCACCGGCUAACUACGUGCCAGCCGCCGCAGUAA
rnacentral:rRNA from 1 species